GACGAACGCUGGCGGCGUGCUUAACACAUGCAAGUCGUACGGUAAGGCCCUUUCGGGGGUACUCGAGUGGCGAACGGGUGCGUAACACGUGAGUAACCUGCCCACAACUUUGGGAUAACGCUAGGAAACUGGUGCUAAUACUGGAUAUGUGCUCCUGCUGCAUGGUGGGGGUUGGAAAGCUCCGGCGGUUGUGGAUGGACUCGCGGCCUAUCAGCUUGUUGGUGGGGUAGUGGCCUACCAAGGCGGCGACGGGUAGCCGGCCUGAGAGGGUGACCGGCCACAUUGGGACUGAGAUACGGCCCAGACUCCUACGGGAGGCAGCAGUGGGGAAGAUUGCACAAUGGGCGCAAGCCUGAUGCAGCAACGCCGCGUGCGGGAUGACGGCCUUCGGGUUGUAAACCGCUUUCAGCAGGGACGAAGCUUUUUGUGACGGUACCUGCAGAAGAAGCACCGGCUAACUACGUG
rnacentral:rRNA from 1 species